rnacentral:lncRNA from 1 species
UUCAUUCUAUUCCUCCAUAUUUGAUGAAAUCAAAUGGAGUUGAUCAUGCUGCCCAUCUACUCUUCUUAUAUUGGGCCUCUAUAUCAGAUGUGUGCAAACGAGAUUUGGGCUUAGGCUCCAACUGUUAUUCUCGGAUUUGGUUCAUAAAAUUUAUCGAAUAUAAAAUAAGGUUUGAUUGAGGCUCAUUUAGCUACCGAGUCGAGCACGAUUCCGAAUCGAGCCCGAGCAGUUUGAACUUUUAUUAAUAGAAAAUUAAAAUUUGACGAGGUUCGAGUAAUUUAUCGAACUUUAAAAUUUGUUCAUAUUUGACUUAUUUAUAUUUCGAGUCGAGCUUGAAUCGAACUUUUAC